rnacentral:rRNA from 1 species
ACUCCUACGGGAGGCAGCAGGUGGGGAAUAUUGCACAAUAGGGGAAACCCUGAUGCAGCCAUGCCGCGUGUGUGAAGAAGGCCUUCGGUUGUAAAGCACUUUCAGUAGGGAGGAAGGUAGUGUAGUUAACACCUGCAUUAUUUGACGUUACCUACAGAAGAAGCACCGGCUAACUCCGUGCCAGCAGCCGCGGUAAUACGGAGGGGUGCGAGCGUUAAUCGGAAUUACUGGGCGUAAAGCGCAUGCAGGCGGCCUGUUAAGUCAGAUGUGAAAGCCCGGGGGCUUAACCUCGGAAUUGCAUUUGAAACUGGCAGGCUAGAGUCUUGUAGAGGGGGUAGAAUUUCAGGUGUAGCGGUGAAAUGCGUAGAGAUCUGAAGGAAUACCAGUGGCGAAGGCGGCCCCCUGGACAAAGACUGACGCUCAGAUGCGAAAGCGUGGGGAGCAAACAGGAUUAGAUACCCUGGUAGCACAGAG